GCCGAAAGCCUCAGGUUUCUGGAGGAAGGUUCGUCCGCUCCAGGUUAGUCGGGAGCUAAGGUGAGGCCUAACGGCGUAGCCGAUGCACAGACGGUAGAGAUUCCGUCACCACCAAAAGAGUUAAGCACAGGGACACAUUUGAAGUCUCGGAGCCGGGUGUUGGUUCCGGUAGCGAUCGAGGGAAAUUAGUACCGAAGUCCGGGAUGGAAGAUGGCGAGAAAAGCUGUGUGUAUUUCUGCGGUGCCCGUACCG
rnacentral:rRNA from 1 species